AUGUCCGCUACAGCUCCGCCCAGCCCUGUAGGCGCUCGUCACGGUUUCCACCCAGCCCUGCCAUACCUAGCCCUAAAAUGCCUACUGCAGCUCCGCCCAGCCCAACUGGACCCAACCCACCAACACGGGAGCAAGGUGGGCCAGACCUCGGGGACGAGACGAGCAGGAGUGGGCGGGGGCCGGCCGGACCCCCGUGUCCCAGGGUUAGAAGGCACCCCAGAGCCGGGCAGAGGCGGAGCCAGCGGCGGGGCUUCUGCGCCCCCAAGUCCGGAGUGGAGCGUGGAGGUAGCGGAUCCCGGUGGGCCCAGCGCCGUGGCCCCCCAGGAGGGACUGGACUCGGACGCUCCCCGACCCCAGACGGCCACCCCCCCGGGGCUGCAAGCGAAACUCAGCACCUCUGGAACGGCGUCGGGAAGAGGCGGUGGACCCCCAGCACAGCCCGCCCUCUCCCGGCCCGGGGACCGCAGCCUCGUCCUCCCCGCUCAAAACUCCGGUCCGGGGCCUCUGGCCGCCCCAGCGCCGCUCCGCCCCUCCGCCCUACCAGUCGGCGAGGGCCGCGAGCCGGGGGGCGGCGGCGCGGCUCCCGCCGACCGGACCCCGGCCCGCCGUCCGAGGAGGAGGGCCCCCGGCCCCCGGCUCCGGCCCCCCGGCGGGCGAGAACGGCUGGUCGGAGUCGGACUGGGACGUGUGGCUCCUGUCGGAGCCGGACGGGCUGCGGCCCUCCCCCGGGGCGCUGCCUGGACGCGGAGGGGCCUGCGUCACGCCCGCGUUGGCCCUGCCCGACGGGGCCUACGCCUCCCAGCUGGACUCCGUGCUCACGCCCAGGGCCGAGCUGACUGGACGGGCGGGGAGGGGAGGACCGGCCCCCGCUGCCUGGCACAAGGACGCAGAGGCCACUUUCUUCAGCGCCUUCACAGCCUGCCUGGGCAACUGGGCCAGUUAAGCUGGGACCCCCUCUCGGGCGGGGGGGGAGGGUCCGGGGCGGCGCGGGGAGGGGGAGACCCCCGGCGGGGGCUGGGUGGGGCAUCCGCCCUUGGCUGA
rnacentral:lncRNA from 1 species